rnacentral:tRNA from 1 species
ACCUGGCUGGCUCAGCCAGUAGAGCAUACGACUCUUGAUCUUGGAGUUGUAAGUUGAAGCCUUAUGUUGGGUG